rnacentral:rRNA from 1 species
AUUGAACGCUGGCGGAAUGCCUUACACAUGCAAGUCGAACGGCAGCACGGGAGCAAUCCUGGUGGCGAGUGGCGAACGGGUGAGCAAUAUAUCGGAACGUGCCCAGUCGUGGGGGAUAACGUAACGAAAGCUACGCUAAUACCGCAUACGAUCUAUGGAUGAAAGCGGGGGAUCGCAAGACCUCGCGCGAUUGGAGCGGCCGAAAUCAGGUUAGGUAGUUGGUGGGGUAAAGGCUCACCAAGCCGACGAUCUGUAGCUGGUCUGAGAGGACGACCAGCCACACUGGGACUGAGACACGGCCCAGACUCCGACGGGAGGCAGCAGUGGGGAAUUUCGGACAAUGGGCGCAAGCCUGAUCCAGCAAUGCCGCGUGCAGGAUGAAGGCCUUCGGGUUGUAAACUGCUUUUGUACGGAGCGAAAAGGCUCUCUCUAAUACAGGGGGCUCAUGACGGUACCGUAAGAAUAAGCACCGGCUAACUACGUGCCAGCCGCCGCGGUAACAC